ACUUUGAAAUCGUUCCUUGCUUCCGCGGGCUGACGACUGACCCGGAUCGGAGGCUGAAUAAUCCGUAAGGAGCAAUUGAUG
rnacentral:ncRNA from 1 species